rnacentral:rRNA from 1 species
AUUUUUCUCAUGGGGGAAACCCUGANGACGACGCCGCGUGGAGGAUGAAGGCUUUCGGGUUGUAAACUCCUGUCAUUUGGGAACAAUGCUACCGGGUUAACUGUUCGGUAGUUGAUAGUACCAGAAGAGGAAGAGACGGCUAACUCUGUGCCAGCAGCCGCGGUAAUACAGAGGUCUCAAGCGUUGUUCGGAUUCAUUGGGCGUAAAGGGUGCGUAGGUGGCGCGCUAAGUCAGGUGUGAAAUUUCGGAGCUUAACUCCGAAACUGCAUUUGAUACUGGCGUGCUUGAGGACUGGAGAGGAGACUGGAAUUCACGGUGUAGCAGUGAAAUGCGUAGAGAUCGUGAGGAAGACCAGUGGCGAAGGCGGGUCUCUGGACAGUUCCUGACGCUGAGGCACGAAGGCCAGGGGAGCAAACGGGAUUAGAUACCCCGGUAGUCCUGGCAGUAAACGGUGCACGUUUGGUGUGGGAGGAUUCGACCCCUUCUGCGCCGGAGCUAACGCGUUAAACGUGCCGCCUGGGGAGUACGGUCGCAAGAUUAAAACUCAAAAAAAUUGACGGA